CGCAAUUUCAAUUCAAUGUGUUUAAUGCAGGCCUGAAUCACUUCAUUGAAUAUAUCUAUUGUUCCCUGGACGACAGAUAGAUGGCAGUGUAGCGCAGCUGUUGAACAGAAAGGCCGAAAUAGAAUGUUUGCUGAAAUAGAGCACAACUGCUCAGCUACAGCGAUCGACACAUCAGUUUGCUACCAGCCAAUUUUGCAGUCUGGUCGACAUGGAUCGAUUUAUUGUAAAAAAGAAACAAAAAUCUAUUGACAAUGAAAAUGUGGAAAUGCAGCUAGCUGACGUGCCUCCGGUGGCUAAGAGAAGGAUAUGAAGAACACAGAAAGUUCCAAGAGAAGUCGACAGACAAGUACUUUUUUGUACUGCAUGAUGGGACUAGCUCACUUUAUCUUAUUUGCCAGAAGGCAGUCAAUUGUUUUAAACGAGCAAAUUUAGAGAGCAACAUUUCCAGUCACACCAUGCCCACUUUGACAAAACAUAUCUGCCACAAAGCAACUUCAGAAACAACAAAAUAACGCAACUCAAAGGACCGCUCAAAGAACAACACAUGAUGGACAGAUCUAUCACUGUUGCAGAGAGAACCACAGAGGAAACAUGAGAUUGCUUGGAUACUAGCGAGGAACAAGAAGGCCUUCACAGAUGCAGAGAUUGACAAAUAAUGUUAUUUGGCCUCGGUCAAAAUGUUGUAUGCCGAUUUCACAAACAAGGAAGCUAUUUUAAAGCAAAUUAAGGGACUGCAACUCAGACUCGACCAUAACAAGAUGCAUAGAAGACAUCGUUUCGACCCAAUGAUUCAUCUGAUGACUACCUUCGCGUCAUGCAGGCCCAGGCAUGGAUCAAAGCUGGCGAGACAUUCAAUGACGCCAUCUUCACAGAAGUAUCAACUGUGGCCCUUGAGCAAUUUGCUCAAAAUUGCUACAGAAAAAAAGGAAGAUGAUCAAGCAAGCGGAGUCCCAAGCAUCCCAUCAAACUAAAUGUGAGGAAGGGGACUAUUUCUCACCAGGGACCAGGUCCAUAUUUGAUUUUUGAUAGUAAGUUUAACAUUUACAAAGCAAAAGGUAUAUAAUAUAUUGUAGCCUACACCUCACAGACUGCUAUGUGUUCAACAAUAAUUCACAGUUGCCUCUUUUCAAGUAUCAUGGCUCAAGCUUUCUUUGAAGAUAUGAUGUACCCUAUGUCAGAGAGGUGUUUCUGGGACCACAUUUCUUUCAAGGUAAGAUUAUAGCAAUG
ensembl:lncRNA